rnacentral:rRNA from 1 species
UACGUAGGGGGCAAGCGUUGUCCGGAAUCAUUGGGCGUAAAGAGCGCGUAGGCGGCCCUGUAAGUCCGCUGUGAAAGUCAAGGGCUCAACCCUUGGAUGCCGGUGGAUACUGCAGGGCUAGAGUCCGGAAGAGGCGAGUGGAAUUCCUGGCGUAGCGGUGAAAUGCGUAGAUAUUGGGAGGAACACCAGUGGCGAAGGCGGCUCGCUGGACCGGUUCUGACGCUGAUGCGCGAAAGCGUGGGGAGCAAACGGG